GAAGGAAAUUCCUUCCCUCUUGCCCGGCCGUGGGCAAAAAGGCCUCCGGCCGGCCCUCUCGCGCCCUCCUUCUAGCAGCGCUGUAACAGGUACUCUCACCACUGGAAAGAAAAUCUCUACUUUAGACAUACUAGCAAAUAUGCACGUGCGUUGCACCGGGAGAAUCAAAACACACUUCCCUGACCCAAUGACUCAAGACAACAUUCUGUUGCAUCAGCCAUGUAAUAUAUAGUUUACCAAUGGUCUUAAAAUGCAUGUAUGAGAUGCUACACUUCAAUCAUGAAAGAAUUGAUUAAUUUAAAUAUCUAAAUUACCUUCCUAGUUAAUUUGUAGUAUAAGGAGUCAUUACCUUCAUCAUUUGAUUUAUCAUUGAGAGCCUAAAUCAUGAGGAUCGUACAUGUAUGUACAUAUAUAAAAAAUUAAGGUUUAAUUGGUCAGUUACCAGAUGCCCAUUACUGAUUUUCGUUACCAAAUUUCUUCUAAACAUACAAGCACGGAGACCUAUAAAGUCUAAAGUACAACUCAAUUAUCUUUCAUAUAGAAGGAAACAUAAUAAACGAAUUUGCACAUACCACACUAAAACGAAUUUUUUAUUUGAAGAGGUCACAAUAAUUUUCAUGAAAUCAGGUGUAUGAUUCGGAAUUUCUUUUUUAACCAUGCAUGCUUCAGAUUCCACGAAAAGGCAUUAUUCCCCGUCCGUUGAAACGAAAAAAAAUAUCAUCCCUCAUACACACACCUGACAGCAUCGGCGAAUCCCUUCAAAUCUUUCACAAUGCCACACGAGAAACAGCAUGAUAAGUGGUGUCGCGCAAAGUUCAUAAGGUUGUAUUAUUUGUGAAAUGUACUCAACAUGUUUCCAAUUUAUUAGACAACAGAAAUAUCAACGUUAAGACGGGAUUUUCAAAAUACCCCUAUAAAGAAGAUAUUAAUAAAGGUUGCAUCAUAAAUGGAAUUUUAGGAAUGAUGAUUAAUUUAAUAGCAUAUUUCAAAUCUACACAUCUUUUUAAAGGGAUUUCCAUAUAUAACAUGUUAGAUUUGGAGUUAGGAUCUGAAAGUGAUUAAUAUAAUACCAUAUUUGAAAUCUACACAUCUUUUUAAGGGAUUUCUAUGUAUAACAUGUUAGAUUUGGAGUUAGGGUUUGAAAGAUAUGAGUUUUUUUUUGAAAUAUUUGAAUAUGUCCAAAAAUAGAAAGAAUGAAAAUAGAGUAACUGGUACAUUGUGCAGCCCAUCUGCUAAGUGACGCUGGGGCGAGUAGUAAUAUCCUACGCCUACCAACAUUAAUAGGAGAGAAAAAGAAGAAAAGAGAGAAAGGGGAAUCGAACCUGGUGAAGCUCACACCACUACGCCAGCCACCCGCAAGUUAUUGACUACAUGGGCUUAAUUUUAAUAACCGAGCCUAUCGCGGAUUUUAGAAGGGGCAAACCGAACCGUUUUUUUCACUUACCAAUGGCAUGGUGGGUAAUUCUUUACAACCUCAGGGGCAGUUUCAAUGACGGACGACAGAACCCCAAUUCUUUUUAUUAUUAGGUAAAGAUAUGAAGUCCAGCGGAUGCUUUCGUUGGUCAUGCAUGAGUUCCCAAAAGAAUGAGGUCCGUGUGUUUUCAGUUUACUGGAUAGGUCAAGCAGAUAAACGCAACUAUAGUAAGAGUAGUUCAGUAUUACAUAUAUAGUUUAUUUCAGUAAAUUGGAACCGUAAAGAGUGUCUAGAACCGAGUAAAUUUUCUGGAGUUAUGAAAUUAUUUCAGUACAAUAUCUUGAGAAAGAAAAUACUACAUAAUAUGCCUGUCAUUUUGUGUUUUGCAGCUUCCAUGUAUUUAACUUAUGCUGCAAAAACAUACAGUACUCUGAACAACUCCCUCCGUUCACUAUUAUAAGAUGUUGUAACUUUUUCCUCAAUCAGAUGUUUAUAGACACAUUUUUUAGUGUGUUUGUUCACUUAUUUUUGUUCAUAUGUAGUUCAUAUUGAAAUAUUCAAAACAUCUUAUAAUAGUCAACGGGGAGAGUACAAUUCAUGAUCUCACUUUCAUAUACUUCUAGAGAGGUUUUUUCCUUUUGCUUUAUUAACGCUCAAAUAGUACAUAUUGUACGUUGCAAUUGUUUGAAAAUGGGAUAGGAAAUAUUUUUGUGGAAUUUGUCAAUUGUCAUGCAGGAGGAGCAGAAAAAUGAGAACGAUCUUUGUAGUUUAUAGGACAUGCCAAGGUAGAUAAGUGCACUCUCUCCUAAUUGCCUUAUUAGAUCAUAUCAUCUCUUCAAGAGCGGUAUUUUUGUUUCAAAUCCUCAACUUCGGAUGAUGUAUUUAUUCCAUCGUCGAUAUUCAGAAUCCAGACGUACAAAGCUGGCUACCCAACUUGAUAGAAUAUAUUGAAUUGAUCUACUACUUGAAACUAGUACCAUGAUACGGCGUUCGGUUUUAAUUGCGUCCACGUCCCUGAUUUCUCCACAAAAAUAAUGGGCAAAAAGCAGUUGAAAAAGCCUGGAGCCGUGAAAUUGAACAUAUAAACCCUCCUAGACUCGUAGUCAAGACCGUGCCCUCCACGUCGCCCCAUAUAAUCGCUAUGCCACUACUUGUAAAUUCUGCAUCCCACCAAGGGCAUUUUAGUCUUUUCAACGGGUCAAGGGCAUUUUAGUCUUUUCAACGGGCCAAAAAGGCAGGCAGCGCGGGCAGGAGCGAGACCGCGCAGACUGCAUCUUCCCCAUGAACCCUAGCCGCGUCCUCGCCUCCUCCUCCAUCCGCGCCGCCUCCUUCAUCCGCGCGCCGCGUCCUCUUCUCCUCCUCCAUCCGCGCGCCUCGGCGUCGAGGCCAUGGAGGGCGGCCGGGUCGGAGCGGUCCCCCGCGUCCCUCCUUCCCCGCUCGGCGCUCUCUACUCCCAGCGCAGCUGCCGCCUCCCUCCACUCUUCCUAUCUCGCCAGAGCCGCCGCACCCGGAGGCGACCGGCGUUGCUCCAUCUCCAGCUGCCCGUUCCCUUCUCUCCCUGCAGCGGGCGGAGAAGAUGGCGAGGAGCUCGUCCGCCCACCUUCCACCAUGGUUUGCAGCGACCGGAGAAGAUGGAGAGGCCGAGCUGCGGCUGCCUCGUGUGCGCUCUCCUGCAUCUCGCGCGGGAGUGAGUGGUGGUGACUAGCAUAGAAGGCGGAGGAGGUCAUUGGGGCCGGCUUACCUUCCGUUUUGGUUGCCAAGCUCCGCGCAUUGGUGAGUGCCUCUCUCUAUCCCUCUACAUCUCUCCCUCUCUCUGUCAGAGGGCAGCUGCCGACCCCGAGGUGCAGGCGGCCAUGGAAAAGCAGAAGAUGCCACACCUGGCUUUUCCCCUUGCCUCCUGCCCUUUCUCUUCAGCUCAUUUAUUUACAUGUGCAAAUUCUUUUUUAUCAAUGCCUGCAAGGUGUUUGAUGAAAGUUCAGUAAGGCUGUGAGGGAAUACCAAACAAGAGAGGAUCCAGUAUCUGUAGCUAUUGAUUCAGGGUGGAGCUAAUGUGAGUGGUGCUGGUCCUUGUUAUAAUCCGUUGGUAACGGCUGCAGAAGGGCUUAACUGAAGCUAUCAAGUGCUUGUUGGAAGCUGGUGCAAAUCCAAAUGUUCUUGACAAGUUUUGUUGGGAUGGGCGUAUGGACUGAAUGGUACUGUCCUGAACUGAAAUGAAGAACUUCAAUGGAAAUGUAAUACUCCAAUCAAGCAAUGUGACACUAGUCAUUGUGUGCAGGUUUUCCCAACAAGUUUGUUGUAAUGCCUUAUUUAAGCCAUUUUUAGUUCAGUACUAAACAAAUUGGCCCGGGGAGACGACCAUUGUGUCCUGGAAGAAGCUGGUCAAGGAGGCAGACCCGGGAGCCGCCCUGUUUGCACGCCCCGGCGAUACAGCCCAUCGUCGCCCCCCUCGCGGGGCCCUCUGGUGUUGCGAUGCAGGAAAAACUGCUCACCAGGAGCUUGAUGGUUUGAAUUUCAUGAAGGAUACCACUGUAGCUCUUACUAAUUUGCUGGCAUCUGCACUAGCAGAAAUCAAGUGUGUGGCCAGCAUAGUUUUUUCAUCAUUCAAUCCUCCACCGAGUUAUAGGAGGUACAUCCAACAGAAAAUGACCCAAAUGAUCCGUCACAGUCAAAUCGGUUCAAUGUGGUUAUUGAGAUAAUCGAGCGCCUUUACAUGGCAUAGUAGUCACGAAGAAGAUCUGGGUGAUGUGCCUGAUGAUAAUCAGUAUGCCAGUGAAGAUUCUUUCAUUGAUGAUGCUGAAUUGAUAUCAGUGGUCCAUGUCGCAAUAAACAAGUGAUUCAUACUUAAACAUGACAUGAGGAAGCUUGGAUACACCUUUCAGGACCAGGAUAUACUCGAUCUGGGGGAACAUGGGCUUCUUUCUUCUCUUUCUAUCAAUUUACCACCACAGACCAUAUAGACCCCCCCCCCACUUCCCUUCAGAGCAAAGCGGCAUACCGAAGCUAAAAAAGAAAAAAUUAUAAGGACCAUGGAUGGUCUUAUAUAUUGUGAUGUGGCACUAUCUCUAAAAUUUCCAAAUUAUGACCACUAAUUUGGUCAGGGGUCUCACACUGGAUUUCAUUGCAAGCCCAUUGGCCCUCCAUCAGCGGCAGCGACGAGCGACAGUCAGCACGAGGUCGGGGUGGAGGGUCAUGAGCACCAGCAGGGGCGUCGAGGGGCACCAUGGUCACUGUGGGAGCACGCCAAACCGAAGGCCAUCACCAGCCACUGGAUAGCACACUGCGAGAUCGGCGGUCAAGGCCACGUUCACGGCUUCGGGGGACCACCCAUGGUCAUCAAGGUGGCGGCGUCCGUGUAGGAGAGAGAGAAGAUGAGGAGAGAGAGAGAAGGAAGGAGAGGAGGGACAAAGAGAGGUCAGUGGAGAGGGAGGUGCAGUGUCGUGAGAAGAAUACAAUGGGGCACGGUCUUCUGGAGGUGCAUCAGGUCCAUGCCAAGGGCCUCUCGGGCAGCGAUUUCCUCGGGAAGAUAGAUUCGUACGUGGUCGUGCAGUACCGGAGCGCAAGGGCAGCACGAUCCGAGAUAACUACUUCAGGUUAGGCGGGAGAAUUAAAAAGGGUAAGCAUAGAUAUAUGGUCUAGCAUCACGAGGUUCAGGUUCCUGCUGUUGAUCAACCGUUGCUUCGGUCGAGUUAGAGAUUAAAGAAGACUGAAAUUAUGGGCUCGCAGCGAGGAUUGCUGUGUCCAACCUGCACAAGAAUGCCAAGAAGUCCUUCUCGGAGACGAUUAAGGACAUGUACCAACGAGAGAUCUGGGCUGCUUCUUUGUGGCUUCCAAACUUGAAAUGUUUGUUUGGAAGUUAGUUUAGUUUUUUGUUAUGGAUUCACAACUUCUCACAUGUACCAUCCUAUUAGACCUUUAGAUUUUCAAAGAAACUAAAUGAAGAUAUCUUGGUAUGGUCUCAAUGAAGAAUCAUGUAUCUAUGUUAAAGCUUUCCAUGCUUUAUAUUUUCUCUGAAAUUUG